rnacentral:rRNA from 1 species
UACGAAGGGGGCUAGCGUUGCUCGGAAUCACUGGGCGUAAAGGGUGCGUAGGCGGGGCUUUAAGUCAGGGGUGAAAUCCUGGAGCUCAACUCCAGAGCUGCCUUUGAUACUGAGGAUCUUGAGUUCGGGAGAGGUGAGUGGAACUGCGAGUGUAGAGGUGAAAUUCGUAGAUAUUCGCAAGAACACCAGUGGCGAAGGCGGCUCACUGGCCCGAUACUGACGCUGAGGCACGAAAGCCAGGGGAGCAAACGGG